rnacentral:rRNA from 1 species
CUUGGUCAUUUAGAGGAAGUAAAAGUCGUAACAAGGUUUCCGUAGGUGAACCUGCGGAAGGAUCAUUAGUGAAGCUAGCUAGAUGUUUGGAUUUUUAGGGUUGUUGCUUUCCUUGUUUGGUAUGUGCACACCUUGAAACGUCCUGAACGUCUUGUCUAUUUCUCUUUACACACCACCUGUGCACGAUCUGUAGCAAGGGAUGAUUUUUUACAGAGUCUUUUUUGAAGACUCGUUGAACGCUCUUGACUAUGAAUGUGGGUUUUUAUACACUCGAGUUGUUUGGAACGAAUUGUAAUGCCGUUUAAUUGACGGUACGAAUUGAAUACAACUUUCAGCAACGGAUCUCUUGGCUCUCGCAUCGAUGAAGAACGCAGCGAAAUGCGAUAAGUAAUGUGAAUUGCAGAAUUCAGUGAAUCAUCGAAUCUUUGAACGCACCUUGCGCUCCUUGGUAUUCCGAGGAGCAUGCCUGUUUGAGUGUCAUGAAAUGCUUCAACUGCUUUGACUUUGUUCAAAGUGAAGUUGGAUUUGGAGUGCUCGUCGGCUUAUGUUCGACCCCUCCCAAAGUCAUGAAGCCUCUUUUUCCUCGGGUCUUUGAUGUGAUAUAACAGUUGUCUUAUACAUCAUGGAGGAAUUAUAAAGAGAGGGCUUAUAAGAGGUUUUGAUUUUCAAGCCUCGUUUGCCAAAAUUUGACCUCAAAUCAG